UACAGAGGUCUCAAGCGUUGUUCGGAUUCAUUGGGCGUAAAGGGUGCGCAGGCGGUGUGGUAAGUCGGAUGUGAAAUUUAGAGGCUUAACCUCUAAACUGCAUCUGAUACUACCAUGCUAGAGGACUGUAGAGGAGAUUGGAAUUCACGGUGUAGCAGUGAAAUGCGUAGAUAUCGUGAGGAAGACCAGUGGCGAAGGCGAAUCUCUGGGCAGUUCCUGACGCUCAUGCACGAAUGCUAGGGGAGCAAACGGG
rnacentral:rRNA from 1 species